GACGAACGCUGGCGGCGUGCUUAACACAUGCAAGUCGAACGGAAAGGCCCUGCUUUUGUGGGGUGCUCGAGUGGCGAACGGGUGAGUAACACGUGAGUAACCUGCCCUUGACUUUGGGAUAACUUCAGGAAACUGGGGCUAAUACCGGAUAGGAGCUCCUGCUGCAUGGUGGGGGUUGGAAAGUUUCGGCGGUUGGGGAUGGACUCGCGGCUUAUCAGCUUGUUGGUGGGGUAGUGGCUUACCAAGGCUUUGACGGGUAGCCGGCCUGAGAGGGUGACCGGCCACAUUGGGACUGAGAUACGGCACAGACUCCUACGGGAGGCAGCAGUGGGGAAUAUUGCACAAUGGGCGGAAGCCUGAUGCAGCAACUCCGCGUGCGGGAUGACGGCCUUCGGGUUGUAAACCGCUUUCGCCUGUGACGAAGCGUGAGUGACGGUAAUGGGUAAAGAAGCACCGGCUAACUACGUG
rnacentral:rRNA from 1 species